rnacentral:rRNA from 1 species
UACGUAGGGGGCAAGCGUUAUCCGGAUUUACUGGGUGUAAAGGGAGCGUAGACGGAAUUGCAAGUCUGAUGUGAAAAUCCGGGGCCCAACCCCGGAACUGCAUUGGAAACUGUAUUUCUAGAGUGUCGGAGAGGCAAGUGGAAUUCCUGGUGUAGCGGUGAAAUGCGUAGAUAUCAGGAGGAACACCAGUGGCGAAGGCGGCUCGCUGGACGAUGACUGACGUUGAGGCUCGAAAGCGUGGGGAGCAAACAGG